GAUCAUGGCUCAGGACGAACGCUGGCGGCGCGCCUAACACAUGCAAGUCGAACGAGAGAGAGGAAGCUUGCUUCCUCAAUCGAGUGGCGAACGGGUGAGUAACGCGUGAGGAACCUGCCUCAAAGAGGGGGACAACAGUUGGAAACGACUGCUAAUACCGCAUAAGCCCACGACCCGGCAUCGGGUUGAGGGAAAAGGAGCAAUCCGCUUUGAGGUGGCCUUGCGUCCGAUUAGCUAGUUGGUGAGG
rnacentral:rRNA from 1 species